UACGGAGGGUGCGAGCGUUAAUCGGAAUUACUGGGCGUAAAGCGCGCGUAGGUGGCUUGAUAAGCCGGUUGUGAAAGCCCCGGGCUCAACCUGGGAACGGCAUCCGGAACUGUCAGGCUAGAGUGCAGGAGAGGAAGGUAGAAUUCCCGGUGUAGCGGUGAAAUGCGUAGAGAUCGGGAGGAAUACCAGUGGCGAAGGCGGCCUUCUGGACUGACACUGACACUGAGGUGCGAAAGCGUGGGUAGCAAACAGG
rnacentral:rRNA from 2 species